GUCUAAAAUCCGUACAUUAUAAAGACUAACGAUUAACACUUAAGAGCUGAAAGGGAGGCGGUACAAAUAUCACUUCUAAAUCCCAACCACUGAUCUCACAAUUUCCCGACCACUUUCACGUACAAAACCAUUUUCCCAGCAAACAAAAACCUUAUCUUUUUCAAUACACCAUGAAACACACUUUUACAACACAAACCUGUGUCACCUAAACCAAUCACCCUGAAACAUAACCUUCAUCGAAAUCUCUCACCAUGAACACCAACCAUGCUAACACCAUCUUCAAUCAAAACCGUUCAUCAUUCGGGAGUGGUCACCAAAAUCUUUCUCAAAUACACUUAAUCUCAUUUUUGUUUAUGAUUAACCAUGGUAGAUAUUUGUUUUGUUUCUUUUUGUUUCACAGAUCAAAGAAAAGAAGUAGAAGAAGAAAUUGGUCAAAACCUCGCUUCCUCAACAACCUCCGCCGCCGAUUCAAAUCGUACAACCAGAGUAGAUCGAGAAUCCAAUCGGACCUGCCGCCGCUGAGAGACGUAGAUCCACCAUCACCACAGAAACGGAUCUUUGCCGCAAGCAAACCGUACCAAAGCUCCACCGCGAGAAACUCUCUGCUUCGAUCUCCGCUAGCCGCACACCGCCUGCAAACAGCCGCAAAUCGCGAGCUAUCAGCAACCACAGGACGACCACCACGACUCCUCCCAUCCGAACCUAAAAUUUGGAAAAGAGUCUCUAAAAGAAGAGAAGUAACUGAGAGUUCUUGGUUGUUGUUUUGGUCCAUUUACUCUUUCACGUGAUGUAUAUGUGUGGAUGAUGUUGUGUUUUAUUUUUAUCCCUAUGCCACUUGUUACUAUACUAAUGGUUCAUGUGAAUACCUUGAAAAAGUCAAAAGAGAAGCAUACUGUCAAAUGAUGCAUGCAGCAUUUUACUCCAUUCA